UACGGAGGGUGCGAGCGUUGUUCGGAAUCACUGGGCGUAAAGGGCGUGUAGGCGGUCCGCUAAGUCUGAUGUGAAAGCCCGGGGCUCACCCCCGGAAGGGCAUUGGAAACUGGCGGACUCGAGUCCCGGAGAGGAAGGUGGAAUUCCGGGUGUAGCGGUGGAAUGCGUAGAGAUCCGGAAGAACACCGGUGGCGAAGGCGGCCUGCUGGGCAGUAGCUGACGCUGAUGCGCGACAGCGUGGGGAGCAAACAGG
rnacentral:rRNA from 1 species